GGGCCCGCACAAGCGGUGGAGUAUGUGGUUUAAUUCGAUGCAACGCGAAGAACCUUACCAGGGUUUGACAUCCUGCGAAUCUCUUGGAAACAGGAGAGUGCCUUCGGGAACGCAGUGACAGGUGGUGCAUGGCUGUCGUCAGCUCGUGUCGUGAGAUGUUGGGUUAAGUCCCGCAACGAGCGCAACCCACGUCUUUAGUUGCCAGCAUUUAGUUGGGCACUCUAGAGAGACUGCCGGUGAUAAACCGGAGGAAGGUGUGGAUGACGUCAAGUCAUCAUGCCCCUUACAUCCUGGGCUACACACGUACUACAAUGCUACGGACAAAGGGCAGCAAGUUCGCGAGGUGGAGCUAAUCUCACAAAGCUUGUCGUAGUCCGGAUUGGAGUCUGCAACUCGACUCCAUGAAGUCGGAAUCGCUAGUAAUCG
rnacentral:rRNA from 1 species